rnacentral:lncRNA from 1 species
AAGGAGGAGCUGCUGAAACAGUUGGAUGACCUGAAGGUGGAGCUGUCCCAGCUGCACGUCGCCAAAGUGACAGGCGGCGCGGCCUCCAAGCUCUCUAAGAUUUGAGUCGUCCGCAAAUUGGACGUGUUCUCACGGUUAUUAACCAGACUCAGAAAGAGAAACUCAGGAAAUUCUACAAGGGCAAGAAGUAUAAGCCCCUGGACCUGUGGCCUAAGAAGACACGCGCCAUGUGCUGCCGGUUCAACAAGCACAAGGAGAACCUGAAGACCAAGAAGCGGCAGCGGAAGGAGAGGCUGUGCCUCCUGCGGAAGUACGCAGUCAA